rnacentral:rRNA from 1 species
UUAGAGUUUGAUCCUGGCUCAAGAUGAACGCUAGCGGCAGGCUUAACACAUGCAAGUCGAGGGGCAUCGGGAGGGAAGCUUGCUUUCCUUGCCGGCGACCGGCGCACGGGUGAGUAACACGUAUGCAACCUGCCCUCUUCAGGGGGACAACCUUCCGAAAGGGAGGCUAAUCCCGCGUAUAUCGGUUUCGGGCAUCCGAGAUCGAGGAAAGAUUCAUCGGAAGAGGAUGGGCAUGCGGCGCAUUAGCUAGACGGCGGGGUAACGGCCCACCGUGGCGACAAUGCGUAGGGGUUCUGAGAGGAAGGUCCCCCACACUGGUACUGAGACACGGACCAGACUCCUACGGGAGGCAGCAGUGAGGAAUAUUGGUCAAUGGCCGAGAGGCUGAACCAGCCAAGUCGCGUGAGGGAAGAAUGUCCUAAGGAUUGUAAACCUCUUUUGUCGGGGAGCAAAAAGGCUCUGCGGAGUCGUAUUGAGAGUACCCGAAGAAAAAGCAUCGGCUAACUCCGUGCCAGCAGCCGCGGUAAUACGGAGGAUGCGAGCGUUAUCCGGAUUUAUUGGGUUUAAAGGGUGCGCAGGCGGCGUGUCAAGCAAGCGGUAAAAUAGCGGGGCUCAACCCCGUCGAGCCGUUUGAACUGGCGCGCUUGAGUUCAGGCGAGGUAGGCGGAAUUCGUGGUGUAGCGGUGAAAUGCAUAGAUAUCACGAAGAACUCCGAUUGCGAAGGCAGCUUACCAGUCUGCGACUGACGCUCAGGCACGAAAGUGUGGGUAUCGAACAGGAUUAGAUACCCUGGUAGUCCACACAGUAAACGAUGAGCGCUAGGUGUCCGGGUCGCAUGAGACUUGGGUGCCCGAGCGAAAGCGUUAAGCGCUCCACCUGGGGAGUACGCCGGCAACGGUGAAACUCAAAGGAAUUGACGGGGGCCCGCACAAGCGGUGGAGCAUGUGGUUUAAUUUGAAGCAACGCGAAGAACCUUACCAGGCCUUGACAUCCCGGUGACAGAGCAUGUAAUGUGCUUUCCCUUCGGGGCAGCGGAGACAGGUGGUGUAUGGUUGUCGUCAGCUCGUGUUGUGAGAUGUUGGGUUAAGUCCCGCAACGAGCGCAACCCCUGUCCCCAGUAGCCAGCAGGUAAAGCUGGGCACUCUGGGGAGACUGCCGGGGACAACCCGGAGGAAGGCGGGGAUGACGUCAAAUCAUCAUGCCCCUUAUGGCCUGGGCUACACACGUGCUACAAUGGCGCAGACAGAGGGAGGCGAAGCCGCGAGGCGGAGCAAACCCCUGAAAUGGCGCCCCAGUUCGGACUGCAGCCUGCAACCCGGCCGCACGAAGCCGGAAUCGCUAGUAAUCGCAGAUCAGAAUGCCGCGGUGAAUACGUUCCCGGGUCUUGCACACACCGCCCGUCAAG